AUUAUGGUGGCAGAUUAGUGCACUGAUUUUAAGAAUCAUAUAUAGAAAUUUUCUCCAUAAAA
rnacentral:tRNA from 1 species